rnacentral:rRNA from 1 species
UACGUAGGGCGCAAGCGUUGUCCGGAAUUAUUGGGCGUAAAGGGCUCGUAGGCGGUUUGUCGCGUCGGGAGUGAAAACCCAGGGCUUAACUCUGGGCUGGCUUUCGAUACGGGCAGACUAGAGGUAUGCAGGGGAGAACGGAAUUCCUGGUGUAGCGGUGAAAUGCGCAGAUAUCGGGAAGAACACCCGUGGCGAAGGCGGCACUCUGGGACGGUACUGACGCUGAGACGCGAAAGCGUGGGGAGCGAACAGG